CAGUCUGAAGCACUGAGCUAUCUGAAUUCUUAAUUUCCAGACCUAGGAUCUACUAAUCUUCCUUGGUCAAACUAUUUACCAAGUGUUUUUGGAAAAACACAGUGAUACAGUAAAAAAUAAAAUUAAAAACUGUAAAUCACCAAAUACUUUACAUUUAAAUAUAAGUUCUUAAUUGACUUGUAGAACUAGAAGGAUUCAGCAACAUCCUCAAUUCACAGAUGGAAGGAUGCAACUUCUUCCCCACCAAAGGGCCUUCAUCCCUUGUUCCUUCUGUGAAAAUCCUUUUCCCUCUGCAUCUUCACAUGGACAGCUCUUUCUGAUCCUUGGGGUCUCAUGUGAAACGUCACUUUUCAGAUAAGCGUUUCCUGCAUAACCCAUCUAAAUCUCUCUCUCCCUUGUCCUUUGCCCUCUUCCAUUAGUCUCCUUUUUACCACCCUAGUUGUUUCCUUUGUACUGAGUGUCAUCACAAAUGGUAAUUAGAUAUUUAACUACUUUAUACUUGUUUAUCAUCGGUCUACAAGCUCCUUGAGAGCAAACUAUUAUAUUAACCUCUACAUAGAAGUGCCUCAUACAGUGCCUACCAAAUUAUAGCCUCUCAAAAACCAUUUCUGGGGUGAGUGAAUGAAUGAAUGAAUGAAUGAAAAUUAUAGGGCCCCACUGAAGCUGGAGAUUUUCUAAGCUCAGAAGCAUCAUGUGAUCAAGUUUGUGUUUGAGAAAAGUAACUCCAGCUGAAGAGUGUGGAGGCUGGAUAAGAGAGACCACUUAGGAGACUAGAGAAAGGGUGAUGAGGGGCGGAACUAAGGCAGUUAUGGUAGCAAUGAAGACAAAAGAACAAAUGUGAGACUUUCAAAAUCAGUAAAUAGUACAUAGAACAAAAACUACCAGGUUGUAGGUUAUGUAGGAGAGUUUUAGAUGACUACGGUGUUUUAUUCAUUCCACAAAUAAUUGGCGAUUUAACAGGCAGGCAUGAUACCUGUUAUUAUGGACUUUAUAACCUAGGAGAGGAGGCUCAAAACAAAUCAUUAUAUAUAAACAAAUUAUUUUAUCAUACCUGAAAAGCUACACAGAAAGAACGUGACCAGGUGUAUGGUGUGGCCCUGAGUCAGGAAAUGCAGAAGGAAGAGCAAAUCCAGAGGAGGAAGAUGAUAAAUUCAUCAGUAAUGUGGUAUUAGUAAUCCUUGCCAGUCCUUUCAAAUGUGAUGGUCCCAUGUGCAAAAGCUCUAAACACAUUCCAUAGAUGAAGGCUGUUACUAUUACUCCUCUGUGUCCUUCAUCUCCCCAGCAGAGAACCCCAGACAUGGUCCCUCUAAGAAGUAUAGGGCAGACAUCAUCGGAUGAAUGGAUAAAGAAGAUGUGGCACAUAUAUACAAUGGAAUAUUACUCAGCCAUAAAAAGAAACGAAAUUGAGCUAUUUGUAAUGAGGUGGAUGGACCUAGAGUCUGUCAUACAGAGUGAACAAUCUUGGCGCACAGAUCUGAGCUACAUGCAACAAUGGCACGACUUGGGAGCAACUGAGAAUUUUCAGAAGACAGAUCCCAAAAAAUAUCACUAUAAUUUAUGACAAAGAGUGUUCUGCCUAGGACUUCCCUGGUGGCACAGUGGUUAAGAAUCCGCCUGCCAAUGCAGGGGACAUGGGUUCAGUCCCUGGUCCAGGAAGAUCCUACAAGCCCACGCACCACAACUACUGAGCCUGCACUCUAGAGCCCGUGUGCCACAACUACUGAAGCCUGCGUCCCUAGAGCCCGUGCUCUGCAACAAGAGAAGCCAUUGCAAGAAGCCGCCCACGGACCACAAUGAAGAGUAGCCCCCGCUCACCGCAGCUAGAGAAAGCCCACACGCAGCAAUGAAGACCCAA